rnacentral:rRNA from 1 species
AGAGCGAACGCUGGCGGCAUGCUUAACACAUGCAAGUCGCACGGCUGGGGCAACCCAGCAGUGGCGGACGGGUGAGUAACGCGUAGGUAUCUAUCUCCGGGUGGGGGACAACUGUGGGAAACUACAGCUAAUACCGCAUGAUGCCCGAGGGCCAAAGGCGCAAGUCACCUGGAGAGGAGCCUGCGUACGAUUAGCUUGUUGGCGGGUAACAGCCCACAAGGCGACGAUCGUUAGCUGGUCUGAGAGGAUGAUCAGCCACACUGGGACUGAGACACGGCCCAGACUCCUACGGAGGCAGCAGUGGGGAAUAUUGGACAAUGGGCGCAAGCCUGAUCCAGCAAUGCCGCGUGAGUGAAGAAGGUCUUCGGAUUGUAAAGCUCUUUCGACGGGGACGAUGAUGACGGUACCCGUAGAAGAAGCCCCGGCUAACUUCGUGCCAGCAGCCGC